UGGGGAAUAUUGGACAAUGGGGGCAACCCUGAUCCAGCAAUGCCGCGUGUGUGAAGAAGGCCUGCGGGUUGUAAAGCACUUUAGUGAGGGAGGAAGGUGAGUGUGUUAAUAGUACACUCAAUUGACGUUACCUCAAGAAUAAGCACCGGCUAACUCUGUGCCAGCAGCCGCGGUAAUACAGAGGGUGCAAGCGUUAAUCGGAAUGACUGGGCGUAAAGGGCGCGUAGGCGGUCAGAUAAGUUAGAUGUGAAAUCCCUGGGCUUAACCUAGGAACUGCAUUUGAUACUGUUUGACUAGAGUAGGGUAGAGGGAAGUGGAAUUUCCGGUGUAGCGGUGAAAUGCGUAGAUAUCGGAAGGAACACCAGUGGCGAAGGCGGCUUUCUGGACCUAUACUGACGCU
rnacentral:rRNA from 1 species